CAAGCCUGAGGGCAAUGAAGUUUUAACAUGGGAAGUCAUCACUGCAAUGCAAAAGUAGGUGAAUAAAUCAAUCUGUUUCCAGUGAAGGUCCCGGCUCUGAGGGAGGCUCAGAGGGUGAUGACAAGAGAGAGGGCCUUUUCAGUUGUGGCUCCCCAUCUGUGGAAUAUGCUCCCCAGGGAGGUCUGCCUGGCACCUUCAUUGUCACCUCUUUGGCGCCAGGUAAAGACGUACCUUUUCUCCCAGCCACUUCCCUUAAAGUUCUACAGCAAGAUGGUUGGAAGGAAACCACUCGCUUCAGACAGAACCUAUCUGGUUCACUACCAGCAACACAAGAACUGCAGGAAUUGUUAAAUGUACCUUCCUGCGUGACCAUCAAUCAAAUUAAA